UCAGAAGCUCUGGGGUUGCUGGCAGUACUACUCUACACUUAGAUUUAUUUCACGUGUGCUCGUAUGUCCACGUACUGUGUGCAUGCCUGGUGCCCAUGGAUAUAAGAACCUCUUCAGAUCCUCUGAAAUUUGAGUAUGAAUGGUUCUGAGCCACCACGUGUGGGUGCUGGGAACUGAACCUGGGUCCUCAGCAACAAGUGUGCUUAACCUCUGAGCCAUCUCUCUAGCACCCCUCCCUUCUUUAUCCUAAUGUCUGUUGUGACAUACCACUCACUUAAGGUUUCCAGUGCACCCUCACUUCUUACCGGGGAAGUGUAGCCAAACAUUGAACUGAUCAUCCCAGAGGGUUUUAAUUCAUUGUACUAAAAUACAUAAUUCCACAGGCCUUUGAAUUCACAGCCAAGAGCAGUUUAAAGCAUAAUUCUAAACACAGGUUCUUUAGAAAGUCCUUCCAUGCUUCGAUACUGUAGUUUCUUAGUUCUAGCUGUUUGUGAGGCAGAGCUUCACAUGAUAUAUCUCACAGCAAAUUUUUCAACUUUGAAAAUCAAAAUAGGGGCUGGGGAGAUGGCUCAGCAGUUAAGAGCACUGGCUGCUCUUCUAAAGGUUCUGAGUUCAAAUCCCAGCAACCACGUGGUGGCUCACAACCAUCAGUAAUGGGGUCUGAUGCCCUCUUCUGGUGUGUCUGAAGAAAGCUACUUACAUACAUAAAGUAAAUAAAUCUUUAAAAAAAAAAAGAGAAA
rnacentral:lncRNA from 1 species